rfam:Staphylococcus aureus subsp. aureus NCTC 8325, complete genome.
UUUAAUAUAGGAUUUGGGAAGAGUAAGUUCAAAUUAUUUUAAAGAGAGCAUAUGAUUUGGUGUGAGUAUGUAAAUGAUUUUUACUGAAGGUAGCCCACAGAGUAUCUUAGCUGAACGUGAUUAAUAGUAGGCUAAGACGUGUUUGAGCGUUAAUCAUAAUCUAGAGUGCUUGAAGAGAUGAAGCAUUUCAAAUUUCACGAUGAUAGUAUUGGUAUGAUUAUUCCAAUUAUGUUAAAAGAGUGAAUUUGAUAUUAAUCAUCCUUCUUGAAUAUAGGUGGUACCACGGAAUAUCCGUCCUAUUU